rfam:Sphingobacterium paucimobilis HER1398 contig1, whole genome shotgun sequence.
AAAAAGGUGGACUGAUUUGCAUUUUACUUGAACAGUAAAAAGGGAGAUUGCAACCACAGAAAAAAAGUGCUAAAACCAUUCAU